rnacentral:rRNA from 1 species
AAUCAACGCUGGCGGCGUGCCUCAGACAUGCAAGUCGAACGAUUAAAGCUCUCUUCGGAGAGUGCAUAGAGUGGCGCACGGGUGAGUAACACGUAAGUAAUCUACCCUCGAGUGGGGAAUAACGUCCGGAAACGGACGCUAAUACCGCAUAAUGCAGCGGCACCGCAAGGGGACAGUUGUUAAAGAUUUCUCGCUUGAGGAGGAGCUUGCGGCAGAUUAGCUAGUUGGUAAGGUAAUGGCUUACCAAGGCUACGAUCUGUAACCGGUCUAAGAGGACGGUCGGUCACACUGACACUGAAUAACGGGUCAGACUCCUACGGGAGGCAGCAGUCGGGAAUUUUGGGCAAUGGGCGAAAGCCUGACCCAGCAACGCCGCGUGAAUGAUGAAGGUCUUAGGAUUGUAAAAUUCUUUUACCAGGGACGAUAAUGACGGUACCUGGAGAAAAAGCCCCGGCUAACUUCGUGCCAGCAGCCGCCGUAACAC